rnacentral:lncRNA from 1 species
AGUUUUACAAAUAUUAUUUAUUUGUAUGUUACUUGGAUAUAAUAUGACUUUUCAUACAUGUGAAACUCUGCAUAAAAAUACAUCUAUAUAAAUAUAUGUAUAUUUGAUUGGAGUUUAGAAAUGAGUAACAACAAAUCAGAGUGCUGGGUUGUUGGCCCCGCCUCCUUGCUUACUGAUCGCGUUGCUCAGAUCACGUUGGAAGGCAGAUGCAGAGUGACGGAGAAAUGUUAUCUGACGCGAGAGCGUAAAAAUAGAAACAUAUGUUCCUUAAACUGUUAAAAGUUCACAAAAACCAAAUAAAUCAGAGGGUAACCACACGAUAUUGGAUGAUCCAGUGUGAUUGUGCCGAUCGGGCAUUUCAGAGGUUACAAUUUGACUCGUGUGGUUGUCUCAGGCCGCAUGGUGUAUUAAGUGUCCAUCACUGACGCCAUUUUGAGCGCGCGUGCCUGUGAAAAAAAAAGAAAGACGUGAAUGAACAGGCCAGGGUUUUUUUUUUUUUAUUUGUGAAUGUUUUGUUCAAGAUGGAUUUCCUUAAUUGAUGGCGAGCCACCCACUUCGAUUCUGAAAGGAUCAAGAGCUUAGAGGAAAGGACCAUUUUCAGUUCUAUUAUUUCUUCCUGAGAUAAGUAAGAGAACUCAUUUACAGAGACUGAUAUAGGCCUAUAUUACUAUUUUCUUCAAUUUGUGUUCCAUUGAAUACAUUGAUUGUGAUUGUGAUUACUGGUAUAUGAAAACUUAUUCAGAGGGUGCACCCAGGAUAUAGUUAUUUGUUUUUCAUUUUGUUUUGUUUUUUAUAUUGUACUUUGUUUAUGUGAUUGAGAGAAAAAAAACACUAAAGGAAAAAAAUCACUGAACUCAAAGUAAAGUGUAUUGGUUCAACUUACCUUCUGUCUCUGCCUGUUACUCAGUAUCACCACCACCUGCUUUUACGUACCGCACAGUCUUCUGAUUUAAUAUUCCUGGUCUGUUAGUUAUCGAGUUAAUAUCCGCUACAUAUACAUAAUCCAUUGCGAUGUAUUUGUUAUUAAAUAAACUUACGUUUCGCCAGAUUGCCCUUCAUCCAAGCCCUCGGAUUACAUAACAUUAGUACAGAAUCAGUUCAGAAUCAAUCACCAAAAGAAUCAGUUUGGUUCAGACGCUCUGUGUGUCAGUCUGCUUCACGCUGAAUCAUACAUGCGCAGUAUCAUCAGUUCCUCGGCUCUCGAAUCUGACAUGUCUGAAAAAAACGGUUUUUGGUUCAGUGUACUGAUUUUUCGAAAACCGAUGCAACCGGUUCUUGACUCGAGUACGAGAAUCACUCUAACCGGCAUGUGCUGCAGUUCAGUUUAAUCAGCUGCUCUACUCGAGUUCAUGUUCUGUUUACUACAAACUCAAUUUGUGAAUGUGUCAUCAUUAACUAUAUAUAUACAGUACAGAUAUUUCAUAAAUCAUCCCUUAUUCCUAUUAAACAUAGAGUCUUAAUUAAUA